AGCACUAUUAUCCAAACGGUUCUCUGACAUUGCAAGAGAAGUAUUUUUAGUGGUUGAUGUUUCUAUAAGUUUGGACUGAUCUCUAGUACUACUUAUAACUCAUCAUUGGGUCUUGUUCCAUGAUUCUGUCCUUUUGGCUUUGCCCGUGUUGCAUCGAUCAGGAACUUGUAGUCUAACACUGGUUUCUCGCUGUUUUCUUUUUGUAUGAUCUAUGUAGUUGUUUCUGUUUGUUAAGGAGACUGAAAGUUACAAGAGGAAAAGAGACUGGGAAUAUUUCUGCCAAACAGAAUUCAUCUUUAGCUUCUCUGAAACAUCAGCAGCUGAAUACAAGUAAAGAAAAGAAAACAAGAAAAGCAUUGCACCUGCCAUAAAUGGUUGCAGCUGUGGCUGUGGUAUUGCCAAAUGAGUGGGAUUUUCAAUCAGGAGGAAAGAUACAAUUGGUGGGAGAGUGAAUCAAAGGAUCGAAAGCUCGAAGCAGAAUUUUGAUCUGGAUGAAAUUAACAUACAAGUCAUUCUUAGAGAAUGGAACUGUCUCUCAGAUUAAGUUAGCAGGCUUCGAACAACGAAGAGCUCGAGCUUGCUGGCGAAAUGGAGGGAAGGGAACAAGCAAAGAUCAUUCAAUCCACGGCGGUGUUCAUUCUGGUUCUAUCCAUUGAUGACAAGUGCGGGGCUUGCAAUGCCGUCGCGGGUGAGAUUGAGCUUGGACUUUUGAGAGCUUUGUGUUCUGCUGCCAGAGUAUAUUUAUGCCUCUCCAUCAAUUGGAUGAUUAGUUUGCAAGGAUAUUAUAUGCUAAUAAAUAACACUGGUUGGAAACGCUGGACAAUUAAUGAUAGUGUUUGCUUGGGAGAACAGCUGCUUCAAACGCUCUAGUUCUGAGAUUAGUUAGAUAGAGGAAGCUUAUUAUAUGGAUUGAGUUGUUGAGGAUGUUUCAGGUUGUACAUAAAUUAGAAAUUUUAUUUCCUGCUAUUUUGAAAUUUUAUUACCUAAAGCUUUUCUGCAUAUUUUGAAGUAUUCUGCUGCUGGUGGAGUUCUUGAGGUGAUUUUAUUUCCUGCAAAGAGUCAUAUCUAUAGAUAGAUUCUGCUGUUGUUAGAUCUUUCAGCUUUGUUGUGUCACCUUAUGUUUAGUACCAUGUUUUGGUGGCCUACUACCCAAAUAAUUUUGUAAUAAUUUUCAAGAUCGACACUGUUUUUUUUUUAAAAGUAAGUAAUCAUGAAAAUGGCCUUCUUUGUCAUAUUUACAAUUAAAAGUUCACUGACGUCAUUUUUGAUAAUAAACAAAACAAAAAGAAAAUGGAAGGAGGAUCUUCAUGGUAAGUUGUUGGCUGCACCCAGAAAUUUUAAAUUUAACUUUCUUAUCAUCAUCAUUACAGCAUAACUAAUCAUUUUACUUUAGUCUUAUAGUAUGAACUUAAUUUAGUGCUGAAUAUUGUUCAUAAAUCUCUGGCAUACAUAGCCUGCAAAACUUUACAAGCUGAAGCAUCUUUCAAAAGUGGAGGUGAUUGCAAAUAAUCCUACUGGCUGCACCUAUAUUCCGGGAUUUGACAACCUCAGAAGCCAAAGUGUUGCACCUCCACAAUGGACAAUGCAUAAUACAGAUGACAGGAAUCGGCUUCUUCAUGGCAUUCUAAAUAUGUGUAAAGAGAUGUUAGGCCGCCUUACCAAACUUGUUGUUAUAGACAUUGU